rnacentral:misc_RNA from 1 species
AACCAUAGAAACCUGCGGAGUACCUGCGGAAGGAUCAUUAAAAAGAGUGUGUACCCCUCUGUAAAAUGAGUGGGUUACCUCCCGUCCUUUGUUGACCUCUUAGGAGGUUAUUUUGAACUUUCUGCUUCGGUGGGGUUAAACCUACCGGAACACCCUCAAAUUCUUAUCAUUUAAAAAUUGUUCAGUCUGAUUUUUGUUAAUAAAAACAAAAAACUUUCAACAACGGAUCUCAGAUCGGAA